GGGUCAGUAGGUUGGUCGUGCCACCGGUACGUACUGGUCUCACUGAUUCCUCCUUCCUGAAGAACCGUAAUGCCAUUAAUUUGGUGUUGCGGGGAAACAGGACUGUUACUUUGAAAAAAUUAGAGUGUUUAAAGCAAGCUAACGCUUGAAUACAUUAGCAUAGAAUAAUGAAAUAGGACGAUCGAUCCUAUUUUGUUGGUUUCUAGGAUUGACGUA
rnacentral:rRNA from 1 species